rnacentral:piRNA from 1 species
ACAGACUGUAACUGCCAGAGCAG